rnacentral:rRNA from 1 species
GCCAUGCCGCGUGGGUGAAGAAGGCCUAUCGGGUUGUAAAGCCCUUUUGUUGGGAAAGAAAAGCUCUCGGUUAAUACCCGAUUGUUCUGACGGUACCCAAAGAAUAAGCACCGGCUAACUUCGUGCCAGCAGCCGCGGUAAUACGAAGGGUGCAAGCGUUACUCGGAAUUACUGGGCGUAAAGCGUGCGUAGGUGGUUGUUUAAGACCGAUGUGAAAUCCCUGGGCUCAACCUGGGAAUUGCAUUGGAUACUGGGCAACUAGAGUGUGGUAGAGGGUGAUGGAAUUCCCGGUGUAGCAGUGAAAUGCGUAGAGAUCGGGAGGAACAUCCGUGGCGAAGGCAAUCCCCUGGACCAACACUGACACUGAGGCACGAAAGCGUGGGGAGCAAACAGGAUUAGAUACCCUGGUAGUCCACGCCCUAAACGAUGCCAACUGGAUGUUG